AAAAAAGAUAUAAAAGGUAUACAAAACAUCCAAAGUUGACAAGAUAACAGCGUGAAACCAUCAAAAAUUAUAGAUACGUUUGAGACGUAUCACAUACCUACCUAUCAUGCCCUUUUCAUAGCCAUUCCGAGAUAUAUUGCCAUGCAACGCCCACCGUUCCGUCUCAUGACUUGUGCCGUCACUUACAUAUUGCCAUUGCAUGAUCGUAAUAUAGCUAGCGAGUCAUACGCUAAGCUAGAUCGUUGCACAUCCCGGUACAUUGCCAGAGGCAUUUCUUCUAAGGGUCUUCAUUGUUCUAAGUUUUGAGCUGUGAGUAAAUAAAAGUGUGAUGAUCAUCAUUAUUAAAGCAUUGUCCCAUGUGAGGAAAAAAAAGAAGGCCAAAGUUGCCCACACACAAAAAAAGAGUGAAAGAGAGAGAUAUGGAAAGAGGCCAAAGAGCCCAAACMAAAAAAGAGAGAAAAAAGAGAGAAGGGACAAUGCUACUAUCUGUUUCCACACUUGUGCUUCAUAAUAGCACCAUGUUCUUCAUGAUUGCGAGUCUCUUGUUUUGUCACCACCAUAUACUAGUGGGAAUCUUCAUUAUAUAACUUGGCUUGUAUAUUCCAAUGAUGGGCUUCCUCAAAAUUGCCCUAGGUCUUUGUGAGCAAGCCAGUUGGAUGCACACCCACUACUUCUCCUUUUGAGCUUUCACACACUUAUAUCUCUAAGUGCAUCCAUUGCAUGGUAAUCCCUACUCUUUCACAUUGAUAUCUAUUGAUGGGCAUCUCCAUAGCCCUUUGAUACGCCGAGUCACUGUGACCAUCUCCUCCUUUUUGCCUCACAACCUUCACCACACUCUAUUCCACCUAUAAGUGUUAUAUCCAUGGCUCACACUCGUGUAUUGCGUGAGAGUUGAAAAAGGUUUGAGAAAGUAAGAGUGCGAAAACAAUUACUUGGCCAAUACCGGGGUUGUGCAUUAUUUAAAUUCGUUGUGUGGGGAUGAUGGAGCAUAGCCAGACUAUAUGAUUUUGUAGGGAUAACUUUCUUUGGCCUUGUUAUUUCGAAAGUUCAUGAUUACCUUGCUAGUUUGCUUGAAGUAUUAUUGAUUUUGUGUCAAUAGUAAAUUAUUGUUUUGAAUCUUAUGGAUCUGAACAUUCAUGUCACAUGAAAGAAGUUACAAACAAAUAUGCUAGGUAGCAUUCCACAUCAAAAAUUCAGUCUUUAUCACUUCCCUACUCGAGGACGAGCAGGAGUUAAGCUUGGGGAUGCUUGAUACGUCUCCAACGUAUCUAUAAUUUUUGAUGGUUUCAUGCUUUUAUCUUGUCAAACUUUGGAUGUUUUGUAUGCCUUUUAUAUCUUUUUUGGGACUAACUUAUUAACUCAGUGCCAAGUGCCAGUUCCUGUUUUUUCCGUGUUUUUGACCCUUUUUAGAGGACAAUAUUAAACAGAGUCCAAAUGGAAUAAAACCUCCGAAAAGAUUUUUUUCGGAGCAGAAGAUACGCAGGGAGCUUGAGAACCAAGGCAGAGGGCACCAGGGGAGGCCACAAGCCCCCUAGCCGCGGCCUGAGGGGGCCGCGCCUAGUAGGCUUGUGGGCCCCCUAUGGCUCCUCUGCCCUACUUCUUCCGCCUAUAAAUCCCCGAAAAAUCCAAAACCACGGGAGAGAGCCACGAAAAUACUUUUCCGCCGCUGCAAGCUUCUGUCUUCGCAAGAUCCCUUCUGGGGCAAGUUCUCGUGCCCUAUCGGAGGGGGGAUUCAGACACGGAAGGCUUCUUCAUCAACACCAUUGCCUCUCUGAUGAUGCGUGAGUAGAUCACCUAGUAGCUAGAUGGCUUCUUCUCUCUCUUGGAUCUUCAAUACAAAGUUCUCCAUGAUCUUCAUGGAUAUCUAUCCGAUGUAAUCUUCUUUUAAGGUGUCUUUGUCGAGAUCCGAUGAAUUGUGGAUUUAUGAUCAGAUUAUCUAUGAAUCUUAUUUGAGUUUCUUCUGAUCUCUUAUAUGCAUGAUUUUAUAUCCUUGUAAUUCUCUUCGAGUUGUGGGUUUUGUUUGGCGAACUUGAUCUAUGAUUCUUGCAAUGGGAGAAGUGCUUGGUUUUGGGUUCAUACCGUGCGGUGACCUCACCGAGUGACAGAAGGGGUAGCGAGGCAUGCAUCGUGUUGUUGCCAUCAAGGCUAAAAAGAUGGGGUUUAUAUCUAUUGCAUGAAUCUAUCCCUCUACAUCAUGUCAUCUUGCUGAAGGCGUUACUCUGUUUGUCAUGAACUCAAUACACUAGAUGCAUGCUGGAUAGCGGUCGAUGUGUGGAGUAAUAGUUGUAGAUGCAGAAAGUAUCGGUCUACUUGUCUCGGACGUGAUGCCUAUAUGUAUGAUCAUUGCCUUAGAUAUCAUCAUGACUUUGUGCGGUUCUAUCAAUUGCUCGACAGUAAUUCGUUAACCCACCGUAAUAUUUUCUAUCAAGAGAGAAGCCUCUAGUGAACACUAUGGCCCCCGGGUCUACUUCACAUCAUACUUUCAGCCCUACACUUUUACUUUGUUGCACUUUCCGCCUUCAGAUCUCACCUUGUAAUCAAUCGUGAAGGGAUUGACAAGCCCUUUGUAGCGUUGGGUGCAAGUUUGCUAUUUUUGCGCAGGUACUUUAGAGACUUUGCUUGAUACUCCUACUGGAUUGAUACCUUGGUUCUCAAACUGAGGAAAAUACUUACUGCUACUGUGCUGCAUCACCCUUUCCUCUUCAAUGAAAAAACCAACGCAAGCUCAAGAGGUAGCAAUCCCUACCUCUCUCUUCUUCCUCCUCCGCAACGCUUGCCGAAGCCCUGCCGGAGAGCCACAUAGCUUCACCGCCACCACGAUGUCGUGCUGCCGGACCUCUCCCUCAACUUCUCCUCUCUCCUUGAUGGAUCAAGAAGGAGGAGACGUCACCGGGUUGUACGUGUGUUGAACGCGGAGGCACCGUUGUUCGGUGCAUAGAUCAGAAUCUACCGCGAUCUGAAUCGCUGCGAGUACGACUCCAUCAACCGCGUUCUAGUAACUCUCCCGCUUAGCGAUCUUCAAAGAUAUGAAGAUGCUCUAAUCCUUUGCUCGUUGAUGGUUUCUCCAUAGAUAGAUCCUUGCAUGGUGUAGGAUUUUUUUGAAAUUACUACGUCCCCCAACAGCAUGACUAGGAGUUGGGCAACUUGGUGCGCCCCAAGCGGCGACCUAGCUCACUAUGCGAGGCGAUUUGGUGACUCCAUAGUAGAUGCGGUCAAGAAGGGAGCACAAACGGUUUUGGGAGACUUUACGUGCCUUGAGCGGCAAACUAGCUCGCUGUGUGGGAUGAGUUUGAGUCUCCAUCGGCGAAGCGCUCCGGAGGGGGCGCGAACAGUGUUGGGAGACUUGACGCGCCUCAAGCGGUGAGCUAACUCGUUGUGUGAGGCGAGUUUGUCUCUCCGUAGGCGAUGCGAUCCGGAGGCGGGGCGCGACAAGUUUUGGGCGACUUGACGCGCCUGGAGCGACGACCUAGCUCGUCGUGUGAGUCGAGUUUGUAUCUCUAUAGGCGAUGCGGUCCAAAGGGGGUUGCGGUCGGUGUUGGGUGACUUGACGCCCCUCUAGCGGCGACCUAGCUCGCCGUGUGAGGCGGGUUUGUGCCUCCGUAGGCGAUGCGGUUCUAAGGGGGGCGGGUGUUGGGCGAUUUGACGUGCCUCGAGCGGCGACCUAUCUUGCCGUAUGAGGCAAGUUAAGUCAUGGCAAAUGUUGCGGGAACACACAUGAGAAGCAUUAGAAAAAAAAGGGGGAGAGAGGUGUGUGGACUGUACCUCAUCAUUGUGUUGAUCUGUGUAGUCCUCCAUGUUAAACCUGCGAGUCCGGGGAUAAUGGAAGAAAAAAUGCGCUACCCCCUUAGUUUUCCA
rnacentral:lncRNA from 1 species